rnacentral:rRNA from 1 species
UACGAAGGGGGCUAGCGUUGUUCGGAAUUACUGGGCGUAAAGCGCACGUAGGCGGAUUGUUAAGUUAGGGGUGAAAUCCCGGGGCUCAACCCCGGAACUGCCUUUAAUACUGGCAAUCUAGAGUCCGAGAGAGGUGAGUGGAAUUCCGAGUGUAGAGGUGAAAUUCGUAGAUAUUCGGAGGAACACCAGUGGCGAAGGCGGCUCACUGGCUCGGUACUGACGCUGAGAUGCGAAAGCGUGGGAGCAAACAGG